UCCCUGGUAGUCCAGUGGUUAGGACUCCAUGCUUCCAAUGCACUAUUGCAGGGGUGUGGGUUCGAUCCCUGCUUGGGGAA
rnacentral:tRNA from 1 species